UACGGAGGGGGCAAGCGUUAUUCGGAAUUAUUGGGCGUAAAGGGCGCGUAGGCGGCUAGAUGUGUCAAAGGUGAAAUCCCUCGGCUCAACUGAGGAACUGCCUUUGAAACUGUCUGGCUUGAGGCCGGGAGAGGGUAGCGGAAUUCCCAGUGUAGCGGUGAAAUGCGUAGAUAUUGGGAGGAACACCAGUGGCGAAGGCGGCUACCUGGACCAGUUCUGACGCUGAGGCGCGAAAGC
rnacentral:rRNA from 1 species